rnacentral:rRNA from 1 species
UCUCCUGGAAAACGGGUGGUAAUGCCGGAUGCUCCGGUUGGAUGCAUGUCCUUCCGGGAAAGAUCCGUCGGUAUGGGAUGGGGUCGCGUCCUAUCAGCUUGAUGGCGGGGUAACGGCCCACCAUGGCUUCGACGGGUAGCCGGCCUGAGAGGGCGACCGGCCACAUUGGGACUGAGAUACGGCCCAGACUCCUACGGGAGGCAGCAGUGGGGAAUAUUGCACAAUGGGCGCAAGCCUGAUGCAGCGACGCCGCGUGCGGGAUGGAGGCCUUCGGGUUGUAAACCGCUUUUGAUCGGGAGCAAGCCCUUCGGGGUGAGUGUACCUUUCGAAUAAGCACCGGCUAACUACGUGCCAGCAGCCGCGGUAAUACGUAGGGUGCAAGCGUUAUCCGGAAUUAUUGGGCGUAAAGGGCUCGUAGGCGGUUCGUCGCGUCCGGUGUGAAAGCCCAUCGCUUAACGGUGGGUCUGCGCCGGGUACGGGCGGGCUGGAGUGCGGUAGGGGAGACUGGAAUUCCCGGUGUAACGGUGGAAUGUGUAGAUAUC